CAGCCGCCGCGGGAAUACGUAGGUGGCAAGCGUUGUCCGGAAUUAUUGGGCGUAAAGGGCUCGCAGGCGGUUUCUUAAGUCUGAUGUGAAAGCCCCCGGCUCAACCGGGGAGGGUCAUUGGAAACUGGGAAACUUGAGUGCAGAAGAGGAGAGUGGAAUUCCACGUGUAGCGGUGAAAUGCGUAGAGAUGUGGAGGAACACCAGUGGCGAAGGCGACUUUCUGGUCUGUAACUGACGCUGAGGAGCGAAAGCGUGGGGAGCGAACAGGAUUAGAUACCCGGGUAGUCCCUGUCUCUUAUAC
rnacentral:rRNA from 1 species